rnacentral:tRNA from 1 species
UUCGAAUAGUUUAUAUAGAACAAAAUUUUGAAGAAAUUUAAGUAGUGGAAACUUUUGAAAAA